AUAUAGGACCACUUUGUAGUUCUACAAUUACAGACUGUAGUUCAUCUGUUUCUCUGUAUACUGUUAGACCCUUUCACCCUUCAUGGUUCUUCAGUGGCCAGGACCCCCACAAAGCAAUAGGGGGUGCAAAAUGCUACUGUGCCACGCAGGGGACAACCUGAUGAAGACACUACACUCUGGGGAAAAGAUGGCAUUUAAUUCUACUAUUCCUUAACUGUAUGAAUGUAAUUACCUGUUUUA